CCAGAAAUGAAAUUUACCCAGUGAAAAUAUUAUCGCACUGCAAUAUGGGAUAGAUAUAAUGUCCACCAAGUGAGGGACACCGAGUGAGCAGAGAGGAGGCUCUUUCUUAAGAUGUGGGACACCGAGAAGUGGAAAGGUGGCUUUACUGAGACGACAUCACGGAGGAUCCGGUGCGUUUAAUUCGAUGGAUGGGAUUUUCCUGAUUUCUCUCAAGGCUUGACUAGGAUCUUCCAAGCUCUGGAUUCCUUCUUCCCAGGAUGUUUUUGAUGUUCGUUCUUCUAUAAUCUUCUAGUUAUCAACCAAAGAAAAGAGGAAGGACUUAGAUUGUUCUGGACUCUUUAUUGUGAUGCUGUAUCCUGAUUGGUUAUACACUGUUGCGUGUGAUUAUUUUUUUCUUACUUUCAGUUUCUUUGCUGUUGUUUUUGGUGUCAGUAAAGAAUAAUGCAAAA